rnacentral:lncRNA from 1 species
UACGUAUGGGAGAUAAAUUGAUUAGACAUUAAUGAUUGAUAUUUUCCCUCAAGCGGAAAAAUCUCCAUUUUUUUUUUUUUUUUUGGGAUUUGAUAUUUGAAUGAUCCAUGAGAUGAAUUCUUUAUAAAGUGCCAGAUAAUAAUGACUACAUCUCUUGUUGGUAAUAUCUAGAAUUGUUUCUGGGCUAGUAUUAACUAAUACAAUUGCAAUAGUGUAAGACAUAUCUAUUUGCUUGUGAAUUUAGAAGGAAUGUUCAAAGUUUUUGAUCUAGAAUUGAAUUAUGCCUGUCCGUAUGUGAAAAUAAUAUGCUUCAGUCGCACUGGAAAAUAAGACUGAAGUUUGGGAUUCAGCUAUACGAGUAAUGGGAACAAUUAUAAGUUAUUAAUGUUUUCGGCAAUGACUUUAUGUUCCUUUCUAGCUAUUAAGGGUUUUACCUAAAUUGGCUCCCUUGUUCCAGAUCUCGUUUGUUUCUUCCACAUUUCUCAGAUUUUAUUCAUAUACUGUGAUUUUAUUGAGGACAGAAAUCCUAGGAUUUAUACUGUCAAUCCAGUAAUAGGGCUAAAAUGGUGUUCAGGUUCACAGGGGAUUGUCGACCGCAUUUAGAUCACAUAAAUCUCCUGAUGGGCUCAGGCUAACAUGUUGAAUCCUGGUCUAUGCUUAUUUUCUAUCUUGAUGUGUAUUUUAGUAUGCUGGCGCACUUCCUCUGACGUUGCAGCUUAAAAUAUGAAACUUUGAUUAACUAAAAUAUUUUUAUUUUCACUUUGACUUACUUUUUGCAAACGAAUAGGGUUGGCUUCAGUUCUCUACUGUUUUUGUUCUAACCCACUUUUAGCACUCAGAUAUUAAGAUGCUGCGUUCAUACUGGAAUUAUUUUAUGGUAUAAUUUUGGGCUCAUUAUGAAACGAAUGUUCCAGAGGGUGGGUGGGCCCUGCCUGUGAACAAGGUUAAUUUAUCCACCCCUUUGUAGAACUAGCAAGUGCUUAGUGAAGUAAAAAGUUUAAAAAUGCAAGUGAUGGAUUUUAAAUAUACAAUAGGCACUUUGUA